rnacentral:rRNA from 1 species
AGUCGAACGGAGUUACUUUGGUGAAGUUUUUGGAUGGAUCUGAUUUAACUUAGUGGCGGACGGGUGAGUAAUGCGUGAGCAACCUGCCCUUCAGAGGGGGACAACAGUUGGAAACGACUGCUAAUACCGCAUAAUGUAUCCGGGAGGCAUCUCUUGGAUACCAAAGGAGAAAUCCGCUGAUGGAUGGGCUCACGUCUGAUUAGCUAGUUGGUGAGGUAACGGCUCACCAAGGCUGCGAUCAGUAGCCGGACUGAGAGGUUGAACGGCCACAUUGGGACUGAGAUACGGCCCAGACUCCUACGGGAGGCAGCAGUGGGGAAUAUUGGGCAAUGGGCGAAAGCCUGACCCAGCAACGCCGCGUGAAGGAAGAAGGCCUUCGGGUUGUAAACUUCUUUUAAGAGGGACGAAGAAGUGACGGUACCUCUUGAAUAAGCCACGGCUAACUACGUGCCAGCAGCCGCGGUAAUACGUAGGUGGCGAGCGUUAUCCGGAUUUACUGGGUGUAAAGGGCGCGUAGGCGGGAAUGCAAGUCAGAUGUGAAAUCCAAGGGCUCAACCCUUGAACUGCAUUUGAAACUGUAUUUCUUGAGUGUCGGAGAGGUUGACGGAAUUCCUAGUGUAGCGGUGAAAUGCGUAGAUAUUAGGAGGAACACCAGUGGCGAAGGCGGUCAACUGGACGAUAACUGACGCUGAGGCGCGAAAGCGUGGGGAGCAAACAGGAUUAGAUACCCUGGUAGUCCACGCC